rnacentral:rRNA from 1 species
AGCUUGCUGGUGUGGAUGAGUGGCGAACGGGUGAGUAAUACGUGAGUAACCUGCCCUUGACUCUGGGAUAAGCCCGGGAAACUGGGUCUAAUACUGGAUGCUACAUGUCACCGCAUGGUGGUGUGUGGAAAGGGUUUACUGGUCUUGGAUGGGCUCACGGCCUAUCAGCUUGUUGGUGAGGUAAUGGCUCACCAAGGCGACGACGGGUAGCCGGCCUGAGAGGGUGACCGGCCACACUGGGACUGAGACACGGCCCAGACUCCUACGGGAGGCAGCAGUGGGGAAUAUUGCACAAUGGGCGAAAGCCUGAUGCAGCGACGCCGCGUGAGGGAUGACGGCCUUCGGGUUGUAAACCUCUUUCAGCAGGGAAGAAGCCACAAGUGACGGUACCUGCAGAAGAAGCGCCGGCUAACUACGUGCCAGCAGCCGCGGUAAUACGUAGGGCGCAAGCGUUGUCCGGAAUUAUUGGGCGUAAAGAGCUCGUAGGCGGUUUGUCGCGUCUGCUGUGAAAGCCCGGGGCUUAACCCCGGGUGUGCAGUGGGUACGGGCAGACUAGAGUGCAGUAGGGGAGACUGGAAUUCCUGGUGUAGCGGUGGAAUGCGCAGAUAUCAGGAGGAACACCGAUGGCGAAGGCAGGUCUCUGGGCUGUUACUGACGCUGAGGAGCGAAAGCAUGGGGAGCGAACAGGA